CAGGUGUUUUUCCUCCCACCAAUAAACAGAAAGAUUCCCACAGAAAAUGCGAGCCUGCAGUCAACUCGGUAUACCUUGCAUGUACUGUUUUACAGGAUGUUGUAGGACUUUGACCUGCUGGACUGGCUGACCUUCACUCAGGGAGCAUGUCUGCAUCAACUUGCAACCAACUUGCAACUCUUCAAGGCUACUAGGACACAAUCCACAGAACAUCUUGAGAACAGCAGUUUCUAUGCAACGCUUCUUUUCCUCCUUCUGGACAUUAUCUCCCUUUGGUGACGAGAUGGCUCUUGACUUCCAGCAUCCCCCAGAGCCUCAGCAGGCAACUCAUCUGCCACAGCAGUAUCUCCCCGUCACAGCAGCACUGUGCACUGCCGGCUGCUGUACGCGCUGCUGCGGUCCAGCAUCGGCACGGUGCUAUGUUUCUUCAGACAGAAUGGAAGAAAAACAACCAGUCAAGAACAUCGCCCUAGCAAGUGCAUCUGUGACUACAGUGUGUGGUUACUGCUUGGGACAUUUUGGGGCUGACGUUUCUGUGUUUGCAUCUUUAACUUUGAGCCAACUUUUCUGAACCCUGUUAGAGCUCCAUGGUGCUGACUGCAGGUUACUCAGGUAAAACGCUGUGGAUACUUUGCCCUGUUUUUUUUCGUAUUUAUCUGUGUGCUUGGACUGUAUAAAACAGAUAUUUGAACUAUUUUGGUUAUGUGAAGGGCAAGAGCCUCAAUCAUUAUUUUCAAGGCUUUUGCAAUCUGCUUGGUUAAGAACAGCUGAGGGUUGAAACUAGUGCCUGUGUAGUUGUGUGUGCAGCUCCCAAAGACACCGGGAGAUUGCAUGUGCUCCCCGCAGCUCUCCUGAAGGAGGAUGCAGCACUGGGCGAGAUGGUCUGUUGCUAUUGCAAGAUACGGCUUUUUGUCAAAGCUUAUAGUUUUGUCUGUACAGGGUACUCGAGUUUGUUUGCAGUUUAGGGCUUUGAAAGGACCUGAAUUGAUUCAUACGCUACUUACUAUACGUUGGCCAGUGAGGGAGAACUAGUUAAUACACAGCAAUUUAGUGGUAGGCAUGCCUGUGCUAUUCAGUAUUUUGACAGCCCUCCAAUUUAUCCUAUCCUAAGAGAUUAUAAUGACUGUACUCGCCAGACCUUUGCAUGUGGCUGUUCUGUUACACUGGGGUCAGGAAAAUACAUAAAUGUUAGAAGACGUUGAUUACACAGCUCUCAGCUUUCUUCUCCCUUUUUCCACCCAAGAAGAGGAUAUUUCCUUCUUUUUCCACCUUGUGUCCAAUCCUUCCAGGAGCUCUGAAAAUGGCUGAAAAUACAUUGUAUUGUUCCAUGCCUUGAGGAGGAGGCUGAGUUAAGGGCAUCAGGCAUUUCUGAUCUCCUAAUUACAGCUAAGUAACUACUUAUCUGUAGUUGGUAGGCAUUCAAUAUGGGGAAAAUUAUUUCAUCAUAACACUUCACCUGAGGACCACUGAUUCAUAGCUUCUUUGCAUAAGGUUUUAUAGCUACAAAAUGAUUAUUCAUGAUUGCAAAUCCUGAGCAAAAAUGAUAUAUUUCAUGCCACAGAAAACCUAAUUACUUCCUCAAACAGCCCCAUAUGUUUGUACUUACUUUCUCGCCAUGGAGUGAAUCUGCAGCUGAGAUUCCAGUCGGAAAAAACUCCAGCUGAAGCAGCUUUUACUCUGCCAUAGUAAGGCUCU